GCUGCUCACAGCUGUGCCCACUGGGGAUGAGGCUCAGCCCCAGCCCCACUCCCAAUCACCGCAAACCGUGUGCCUACAGUAUUACACUGAAAUAGAGAUGGUGUCUUUGUAAAAGUAAAGAGUGUGAAAAUAUGGUUUUCCCACACACUUUCAGGAGAGUAACUAGCUCUCAACAAGGAGUUGUAUUACCUUCAGAUAUGCUGUGGAGGAGCUGUAAUAGAACUACUCAAAAAACAACACACCUGCUUCAAAGAGAGAAACCAUCUCCAGCCUGCUUGACACUUCACCAAAGCCUUUAAGAGAGAACUGCUGAAAGAUCUAUAAUAUACAUACAGAUUUCUGGGAGUGGUGAUAAAGGGAAAAGAAUGUUUUUAAUGUGACAUUUUGCCCAGAAAAACUUUGUCAAGAUAAUUUAAAUGCAGCUUUGAUAGUACUUAUCUGUAUUAAGAAAGAGAAAUGUGUCCAGAAAACAAGGUUCUCAGGGAAAAAACCCAAACUAAACAUGUGUAUUUUAUGACAAACCAGGUUAAAGCCAUAAAAUUAUUUAUGGAAGAAAUGAAAAUUAGAACAAAUUAAAAAUUUAAGACAUCCAAAAAUGUUAUUUAAAUGGCUGUAAUAGUAUAUAAACCUUUAUGUAAGUUAAGAUUUGCAUAUGCUCAUUCAAAUUCACAUAUGAUUUUUAAAUUUUGUUAACUUCAAAUUAGAAGUGUAACUUCAUCUGCUAUUUAUUUUAAUAAUUUUUAAAGCAGCAUUAUAUUCCAAUCAGGUUUUUAUAUCUUUUAUAUACUUGUCCCAUUAUUAAAAAGAAAAGUUACGUAGGUAAAUUAUGGAAAGUGAAAGAACCUUCCAACAGCCUUCUAAUAUAUAAAAUACAAUGGAUAUAAUUCUAUUGGCACAAUGGAUAUAAUUCUAGUGACCACAAAUACCCAGGAAUUAGUCAUUUAGGAUUUUAUGGAUUAAAAUUAACUGCAUAAGCUCAGCCAUAGCCCUAGCAGGAAACAAGUGCAGAUGGUGUGCUACUCAGCCAUAAACCUGUUAGAAAGACAGUAUUCCAUCAGUCUCUUACUCAAGUGAUCCACUGGACAGGGUAUGUGAUACAACUAGAACUAGAGAGAUGUGUUAUUGAAUUCCUUCAUUCAUUGUCAGAAAGGCUUGCUAAUACAUUUUCUACUGUUGGCAGAAAUUAGGUAUCUUAUACGUUCAAAUAUUCUAAUGAUUUGUGACCUUGGAAGAACUUAGUGACAAAAGCAAUACUAGGCAGGUAGUGUUACUUCUGUCUGAACAGAAUAAUAACAGGCAGUCUCUGACUUUAUCUUCUGCAUUGUCUGGAAGCUAAAGAGAGUCUCUUCUGCUUGAAUAAUGUCUGUCAAUUGCUGCUACAAAUGAGCAUUCUGGGGUCAAAAUUGACAACUUCCAGAAAUUAAGGUGGGUAAAGAUUAGGUGAGAAAGCAAAACAGAGGAAUAGAAAUACAACCAUAUAUAGAGUCAGAUAUGGUGACUUACAACCAUCUACAUUUUCCCAAUUUGUUAGUGUAAAAUGGAAUUUCUUAAUAGGUAACUGUAAGAUGAAGUUAUGUUUGUCUUUUGACAAAAUUACUCAGCAUGUCUCUAAGCUAUGAAAGUUUUAGUGCAACUGGCCACUGAGACACAAAUCCUACAAAUAGAGAUGUACUUGUGUUUUUAACACAAUUCUAAAAGACAAAAUGGUAAUUGAAAUAGAAGUAUUUCCAAAUAACACUUGUUCAAGUAUCUUUUGGAAAAACCUAAGAUGUCAACCUAAGAAUAUUAAAGUAACUGAUAAUAUUUUAAAAAUACUGUAGUCUAAAAAAGUAAUUUGAUGGCACCACAGCAGAUUUUUUAAAAUUGUUUCUAGAUUGGGAGGAAGGAUAUUUCUGCUUUAAAAGGGGCUGAAAACUUCAAUUUUCUAUAAAAAUAAAUUUGAAAUUCUCAUAAAAUAUAAAUCUAGAAACAGCCAUAUUGAUCUAGUAAUGGAAAAAUGAAUCUUUGCCUUUGGCUAAAGAAACGUGAUCAUACUAAGACUGAAAUAAGUGUAAAUGCAGCAUGAAGAUAAUAAAAAAAACAACCCAGAAAAUACUGCA